rnacentral:tRNA from 1 species
GGGGAUUUAGCUCAGCGGCAUGAGCACCUGCCUUGCAAGCAGACAAUCGUGAGUCGAUCCCCG